rnacentral:rRNA from 1 species
UACGUAGGGUGCGAGCGUUAAUCGGAAUUACUGGGCGUAAAGCGUGCGCAGGCGGUUUUGUAAGCCAGAUGUGAAAGCCCCGGGCCUAACCUGGGAAUGGCAUUUGGGACUGCAAGGCUGGAGUGUGGCAGAGGAGACUGGAAUUCCUGGUGUAGCAGUGAAAUGCGUAGAUAUCAGGAGGAACACCGAUGGCGAAGGCAGGUCUCUGGGCUGACACUGACGCUCAUGCACGAAAGCGUGGGGAGCAAACAGG